GNGGCGGGUNGNUNCNNGGGGNAAAGGGNGNAUUUUCNAUAAUGGGAAAACUCNGGCAUGCUUAGGGAGGAGCUUGCGUCACAUUAGUUAGUUGUUUUGGUAAUGGCCUACCAAGACAAUGAUGUGUGGCCGGACUGAGAGGUUGAACGGCCACAUUGGGACUGAGACACGGCCCAAACUCCUACGGGAGGCAGCAGUAGGGAAUUUUCGGCAAUGGAGGAAACUCUGACCGAGCAACGCCGCGUGAACGAUGAAGUAUCUCGGUACGUAAAGUUCUUUUAUUAAGGAAGAAAAAAUGGUGGAAAAACCAUUCUGACGGUACUUAAUGAAUAAGCCCCGGCUAACUAUGUGCCAGCAGCCGCGGUAAUACAUAGGGGGCAAGCGUUAUCCGGAAUUAUUGGGCGUAAAGGGUGCGUAGGCGGUUAGGUAAGUUUAUGGUGUAAGUUCAACGCUUAACGUUGUGAUGCUAUAAAAACUGCCUAACUAGAGUUGGAUAGAGGCAAGUGGAAUUCCACCCGGUGGACUGGUAAAAAGCGGAAAAAAAGGGAGGAACACCCAGCGGCCAAGGCGGCUUGCUGGGUCUUAACCGACCCAGAGGCACGAAAGCGUGGGGAGCAACACCAGGAUUAGAGACCCUGGGACUCCCCCGCCGCAAACAAUGAGCACUAAACGUUGGGGCAAACCAGGUUUGAAGUUAACACAUUAACUACUCCGCCAGAGUAGUACGCCCGCAAGUAAGAAAAUUAAAGCAAUUGACGGGGCCCGCACAACCGGGGGAUCAUGUUGCUUAAUUGAAAGGCACCCGAAAACCCUCACCCGGUCCGAACAAGUUUCGGAAAGCNGAAAAACCAGUGAGGUUAUCAGUUGCCCAGGGGGCGCAAGGGGGUCGUCAGCCCGUGACGUGAGACGGGGGGUUAAGUCCCNCAACGAGCCCACCCCCAGAUGUUAGUUUCCCGCACGGAAAGGUGGGCACGUUAACAAGACGCCCAGUGAUAAAAGGGACGAAGGGGGGGAAAAAGUCAAAACAUCAGCCCCCCUAAGCCCUGGGGCCCGAACGUCAGACAAAGGGUGUCCCAACGGGCGGCCAAAACGCCCCCUGAUGGUGGUCUCGAAAACCAGAAAAAAAACGGUUUGUAGUUGAAAAAGCGUUUUCAUUAAGGGGGAGUUUUUCCCAUUAGGGAAUAAGCCCCCCCUUUCCCCCCNNNANCCACCCNNCCNCC
rnacentral:rRNA from 1 species